CUCUUUUUAGGAUAAAAAUAUAACAUAAUACAACUUUAUCAUUUCGAUCCUACUAGAAACUGAAAUCUAUAUUCUAUAAAUUUUAAGUCAGAUUCUCCAUAAAUGAGCUACUUGUCCUUAGUAUUUCAUAAAUACUUAAGGAUGGUUCUCAUAACUUUCCAAAUUUUUAUGGAGAAUAAAGAUGACAAUUAAGCUUUUAUUCCAUG
rnacentral:lncRNA from 1 species